AUCUAUCUGAUGAAUCCCAGAAAAGAUGAAACGCGCGUCCUGGAU
rfam:Schistosoma margrebowiei strain Zambia genome assembly, scaffold: SMRZ_contig0000386